GAGAUGUCAGUUAUGUGGUAGAAGGCAUGAGAUUAAAAAUGAGCAAAUAGUUGGGAGUGAAAAGUCAGUUUACAAUGACAUUCUCAGCUCUCCUGCAAUAUCUCCUUUCUUGUUUACCUCCCUGUAGAUGACUUCUUAAUUUCUAUGCAGUUCAUGGAUCCUUUUGGUCCAGCUGUGAGAUACAGCAAGUUCAAGAUGUCAGAGGCAAAGCCACCUCCUCUGUUGGGACAGCACACGAAACACAUCCUGAAAGAGGUCCUCAGAUAUGAUGACAGGGCUAUCGGGGAGCUACUCGGCUCCGGUGUGAUAGAACAACAUGAAACCAAGUGACAGAGGAGAAUGCAUUAGAAAGCUGGCCCUGGCUAGCCCAGACUACGCUCUGUGCAUGCCUUUCCCUGGUCUUGAUCCCUCUGAAUGGCAGAGUGAGAACUACAGAUUUCUUGCCUGGCAUCUCUGGGGUAACUUUAGAAUUAAAGUCUAGUGCCAAAUUAAAAGCUUACUACUUUGACUUUUUCCCCAGAAAAUAAUUUGUUGGUUUGUGGACUUUGAUUAAUUCUAUUGUUUCCAUCCAGAAGAAAUGAUGACCAUUAGGUGAUGGAAUGCUGUUCUGAUUUGAUUCCUCCACACAUGUAUGGGAACAUCAUAUUAUAAACUGUAGUUUCGAUUUGUCAAUUGAAAAUAAAACAAAACAUAAUUUUCUUUCUGAAAAAGCCCUCUUUAUUCUAAUUUCCUUAAUGCCCUAAAAUGUUUGCCUGUCCCCCACACGAGCCUGAAAAAAAGCAGAACUCUUGACAUUUUCUACUUGUACAUAAAGUCCUCAUUUAAAUCUUUGUUAGGAAGUCAAAGCAAUAAGCAGAAUGACAGCCUCUGUGAUUGAUUUUAAACAGUAUAACUUAAUUUCAAGCCCACAAACCCUUUGUUAGUCUGUAAUUUAAGCCACGAACUUUGCUGAUGUCUGUUGUAAGGCUGAGCUCCACUCUGCCCGUAAGGAGUAAAUAUUUGCUUUAUGUUGUAUUUCCCUGGUGAUAUUGUGAUGUGCAAUGGAAUAUCAAUUUCUACCUAUUCAUUUAGAGCAUGAGUAUUUGAGUACGUGAGAGGACAUAGUGGUUCCUCCCUUGUUACCAAAUUUUGAGACAUAGCCAGAUGCAACACUCUUUAAAUAAAUGUGAGGUGAUGCCUCAAAUGUUAAAGUGUAAAGAGUACCAAAUGGGGACAUGAUAGGACAUACUUCUUUGUAAUUUGAAGAUCUCUGUAGAAGAUAGUAGCGUGUGUUUGUGUUUUGAUUUGGCAGGAAUUCCACUUAUAGAAAUAUCUGUCUUGAAGAUAAAAAGUGACCAGGAUAUGUAAUUUAGAAUGAAUUGCCACAGAAAAGUACAUAGGCCAGGUUCAGACCAGGACAUCUGGUGCCACUUGGUCAGUGUCCUGGUAUAAUCUCCACUCAUGGCCAUUGGCACACAUACUACAAAGCACUGGCAUUAUAUGGUGAUAGUAAUUGAAAGUUAAAUUACAGAUGUUUGUCUUUCAAACUGAUUCAAAGCUGGUUUUCAUUUCAUUUGGGAUGGUUUGAGUCGCUUACUGGUUCUAUAAGUUACCAAAAUAAAAAGGAUACCAAAUAAAAAGUAUUUCUACAGAUUCUUCAGAGGAAAGCAUCCUACUUUUGGGGACUCCCCCAACUGCAGUUUUGCUGUUCAACUUGUUGUACUCUGAAGAACCCCUGUUAUUACUCCAUUAGAUAUAAUUUUGUCAUAACAUAGUAGUUUGAUGCCUUCUGCAUUCCUUUGCUUCAGUUCCUAAUUUGUAAAGACACAUAUGAGAUGUUCACAUUAAACUAGUCGUUUAAAGAUUUAAUUAUUUUAUGUGUAAGAGUGUAUUUCCUGCAUGUGUGUACACAUAUCAUUUGUAUACCUGAUGCCUGCAGAGUUCUGAAGAUAACAUUAAUCCCCUGGAAACCAGAUUGAGAUGAUUGUGAGCUACUAUGUGGUUUAAAAACUGACAUAGGUCUUCACAAGAACAGAGAGUGCUCUUAACCUUCAAACCAUUGUUCCUGCCCCCAAGCCAGACAUUUAAAGAAAAUGUCUUUACAGUCACAUGGUUCACAUAGAAAUCAGGAAAAGGUUGGGUGACAGAAUUGAUAAAACCACAUGUCUUGAAAGCCAGAUGCAUCAUUUGUUCCACUGAAACAUAAAAUCUCAAAAUGCAAAUAUUCCUUAUUGAGCAAUAAUUCUAAGUAUGUGAAUACCCAUAUGUAAGAGGAUUCUGUCAUACAUAGGGCCAGAAAGUACCUCUUAAAUUUUAUAUCAAUAAAGACUGAAGUCUUCAAAAAGGAUAGGACCUCCACUGAAGCAUGACUGUGUCUCCAGAUUCCUACCUCCACAGCUCAGAAUGAACCCGGAGAACUUUGAAUUUCUGGUCACUCACCCAACUUAAAGCAUCUACUCCUCUCAUUUAAAAAAAAAGAAGUUCAGGCUGUACUUCAAAUUCACAUUGAUUAUCAGUCCUGAAAGAAACACUGUGCUUACUAAAAUUUUAAAAUUUCUAGCAAUAUGCCCCAGAUCAAAUUAUGCUUAUAAACAAAUGUGCUGUUUUAAUUAUCAGAGCUGGUUAUUUUACACAGUCCCCAAAAUAACACACUACUAAGAUACCAUAUGCUCAAGUUCAAUUUGUGUCAAGGCCUGCCUUCUGGAAGGUUAUGCCUGUGGUUGGCCUCAAAAACUCCUUGAAAAUCAGUGAGUUAAUUGUUCCAGAAUUGGAGAUAUGUCCACAAGCAAAUGGGCUUGUUUUUUUCUGAAAAUUUUUCUACCAUAAUUUUCUUGUUAAUCAACACAUUUUCCUUUGGUAAAUAGCCUGAUAUGCUGAAUGUUCUUUUAGCAGAAACAAAACGAACAUUGAUGACUCUUGUAUGAACGCUGAACUAACUCCCCAUCUGAUCUUGUGUUUGAGACACCCAAUGGUAUUAAAGAUAUAGUCAUGAUUGGAGAAACAAAGGAGGUCUUAUAUUGGCUGUUUGAUAUUACAACCUU
ensembl:lincRNA